rnacentral:rRNA from 3 species
GGGUUGUGAGGUUAAGCGACUAAGCGUACACGGUGGAUGCCCUGGCAGUCAGAGGCGAUGAAGGACGUGCUAAUCUGCGAUAAGCGUCGGUAAGGUGAUAUGAACCGUUAUAACCGGCGAUUUCCGAAUGGGGAAACCCAGUGUGUUUCGACACACUAUCAUUAACUGAAUCCAUAGGUUAAUGAGGCGAACCGGGGGAACUGAAACAUCUAAGUACCCCGAGGAAAAGAAAUCAACCGAGAUUCCCCCAGUAGCGGCGAGCGAACGGGGAGGAGCCCAGAGCCUGAAUCAGUGUGUGUGUUAGUGGAAGCGUCUGGAAAGGCGCGCGAUACAGGGUGACAGCCCCGUACACAAAAAUGCACAUGCUGUGAGCUCGAUGAGUAGGGCGGGACACGUGGUAUCCUGUCUGAAUAUGGGGGGACCAUCCUCCAAGGCUAAAUACUCCUGACUGACCGAUAGUGAACCAGUACCGUGAGGGAAAGGCGAAAAGAACCCCGGCGAGGGGAGUGAAAAAGAACCUGAAACCGUGUACGUACAAGCAGUGGGAGCACAGAGCAAUCUGUGUGACUGCGUACCUUUUGUAUAAUGGGUCAGCGACUUAUAUUCUGUAGCAAGGUUAACCGAAUAGGGGAGCCGAAGGGAAACCGAGUCUUAACUGGGCGUUAAGUUGCAGGGUAUAGACCCGAAACCCGGUGAUCUAGCCAUGGGCAGGUUGAAGGUUGGGUAACACUAACUGGAGGACCGAACCGACUAAUGUUGAAAAAUUAGCGGAUGACUUGUGGCUGGGGGUGAAAGGCCAAUCAAACCGGGAGAUAGCUGGUUCUCCCCGAAAGCUAUUUAGGUAGCGCCUCGUGAAUUCAUCUCCGGGGGUAGAGCACUGUUUCGGCAAGGGGGUCAUCCCGACUUACCAACCCGAUGCAAACUGCGAAUACCGGAGAAUGUUAUCACGGGAGACACACGGCGGGUGCUAACGUCCGUCGUGAAGAGGGAAACAACCCAGACCGCCAGCUAAGGUCCCAAAGUCAUGGUUAAGUGGGAAACGAUGUGGGAAGGCCCAGACAGCCAGGAUGUUGGCUUAGAAGCAGCCAUCAUUUAAAGAAAGCGUAAUAGCUCACUGGUCGAGUCGGCCUGCGCGGAAGAUGUAACGGGGCUAAACCAUGCACCGAAGCUGCGGCAGCGACACUGUGUGUUGUUGGGUAGGGGAGCGUUCUGUAAGCCUGUGAAGGUGUGCUGUGAGGCAUGCUGGAGGUAUCAGAAGUGCGAAUGCUGACAUAAGUAACGAUAAAGCGGGUGAAAAGCCCGCUCGCCGGAAGACCAAGGGUUCCUGUCCAACGUUAAUCGGGGCAGGGUGAGUCGACCCCUAAGGCGAGGCCGAAAGGCGUAGUCGAUGGGAAACAGGUUAAUAUUCCUGUACUUGGUGUUACUGCGAAGGGGGACGGAGAAGGCUAUGUUGGCCGGGCGACGGUUGUCCCGGUUUAAGCGUGUAGGCUGGUUUUCCAGGCAAAUCCGGAAAAUCAAGGCUGAGGCGUGAUGACGAGGCACUACGGUGCUGAAGCAACAAAUGCCCUGCUUCCAGGAAAAGCCUCUAAGCAUCAGGUAACAUCAAAUCGUACCCCAAACCGACACAGGUGGUCAGGUAGAGAAUACCAAGGCGCUUGAGAGAACUCGGGUGAAGGAACUAGGCAAAAUGGUGCCGUAACUUCGGGAGAAGGCACGCUGAUAUGUAGGUGAAGUCCCUCGCGGAUGGAGCUGAAAUCAGUCGAAGAUACCAGCUGGCUGCAACUGUUUAUUAAAAACACAGCACUGUGCAAACACGAAAGUGGACGUAUACGGUGUGACGCCUGCCCGGUGCCGGAAGGUUAAUUGAUGGGGUCAGCGCAAGCGAAGCUCUUGAUCGAAGCCCCGGUAAACGGCGGCCGUAACUAUAACGGUCCUAAGGUAGCGAAAUUCCUUGUCGGGUAAGUUCCGACCUGCACGAAUGGCGUAAUGAUGGCCAGGCUGUCUCCACCCGAGACUCAGUGAAAUUGAACUCGCUGUGAAGAUGCAGUGUACCCGCGGCAAGACGGAAAGACCCCGUGAACCUUUACUAUAGCUUGACACUGAACAUUGAGCCUUGAUGUGUAGGAUAGGUGGGAGGCUUUGAAGUGUGGACGCCAGUCUGCAUGGAGCCGACCUUGAAAUACCACCCUUUAAUGUUUGAUGUUCUAACGUGGACCCGUGAUCCGGGUUGCGGACAGUGUCUGGUGGGUAGUUUGACUGGGGCGGUCUCCUCCUAAAGAGUAACGGAGGAGCACGAAGGUUGGCUAAUCCUGGUCGGACAUCAGGAGGUUAGUGCAAUGGCAUAAGCCAGCUUGACUGCGAGCGUGACGGCGCGAGCAGGUGCGAAAGCAGGUCAUAGUGAUCCGGUGGUUCUGAAUGGAAGGGCCAUCGCUCAACGGAUAAAAGGUACUCCGGGGAUAACAGGCUGAUACCGCCCAAGAGUUCAUAUCGACGGCGGUGUUUGGCACCUCGAUGUCGGCUCAUCACAUCCUGGGGCUGAAGUAGGUCCCAAGGGUAUGGCUGUUCGCCAUUUAAAGUGGUACGCGAGCUGGGUUUAGAACGUCGUGAGACAGUUCGGUCCCUAUCUGCCGUGGGCGCUGGAGAACUGAGGGGGGCUGCUCCUAGUACGAGAGGACCGGAGUGGACGCAUCACUGGUGUUCGGGUUGUCAUGCCAAUGGCACUGCCCGGUAGCUAAAUGCGGAAGAGAUAAGUGCUGAAAGCAUCUAAGCACGAAACUUGCCCCGAGAUGAGUUCUCCCUGACCCUUUAAGGGUCCUGAAGGAACGUUGAAGACGACGACGUUGAUAGGCCGGGUGUGUAAGCGCAGCGAUGCGUUGAGCUAACCGGUACUAAUGAACCGUGAGGCUUAACCUUACAACGCCGAAGGUGUUU